CCCGUGUAUUCCUCCGCGCUGGUGAGGUCCCGGGUUGAGGGUUCUCCAAGCGUCUGUCAGCGCGUCGAUAUCCUGAAGGUUGGGAGGUAUCGAACCCAGGGCGCGCGGUCAGCCAGUCAGCCACCGAGUCAACCCGUCAGUCAGUUGGUGAGUUGAUGGAGGAGGGACACACCUGGACUAAACCCUCACCUUACCUGUUAAUGAGGCAGAUAAUAGAUGGCUGCAGGUGAGAAGGAAGGUGCAGUCAGGUGUGAAGAGGCGGUAGGGAGUAGACAGAUAGGAUGCGCGCCGACUGACCAGGCUGGGAUUCGAACUUGUGCCUCUGGAUUCACAGCACCUGUAACACACCUCUCUUACCUGUGGAGAAAGAAGGAACGUGUCACUGCUAACGAGCCCACACACCUGUCCACCACCAUCAUCAACAGCCAGGUGUGUGAGAACCUUACCUGUGCCUUUGAUGAGAGAGAGAAUGGAACAUCA